AGGGUUCGAUCAUGGCUCAGGAUGAACGCUAGCGGCACGCUUCAUACAUGCAAGUCGAGGGGCAGCAUAAAGUACUUGUACUUUGAUGGCGACCGGCGAACGGGUGCGUAACGCGUAUGCAACUUACCUUUUACUAGAGAAUAGCCAAGAGAAAUUUUGAUUAAUGCUCUAUACACUUCUUAACUCACAUGAGUUUUUAAGAAAAGCUCCGGCGGUAAAAGAUGGGCAUGCGUCCUAUUAGCUUGUAGGUGAGGUAACGGCUCACCUAAGCUCCGAUAGGUAGGGGUCCUGAGAGGGAGAUCCCCCACACUGGUACUGAGACACGGACCAGACUUCUACGGAAGGCAGCAGUAAGGAAUAUUGGACAAUGGAGGAAACUCUGAUCCAGCGAUGCCGCGUGAAGGAAGACUGCCCUAUGGGUUGUAAACUUCUUUUAUACAGGAAGAAACCUUUCCACGUGUGGAAAGCUGACGGUACUGUAAGAAUAAGGAUCGGCUAACUCCGUGCCAGCAGCCGCGGUAAUACGGAGGAUCCAAGCGUUAUCCGGAAUUAUUGGGUUUAAAGGGUCCGCAGGCUGUUUGUUAAGUCAGGGGUGAAAUCCUACCGCUCAACGGUAGAACUGCCUUUGAUACUGACAAACUUGAGUUAUUGUGAAGUAGUUAGAAUGUGUAGUGUAGCGGUGAAAUGCAUAGAUAUUACACAGAAUACCAAUUGCGAAGGCAGAUUACUAACAAUUAACUGACGCUGAGGGACGAAAGCGUGGGUAGCGAACAGGAUUAGAUACCCUGGUAGUCCACGCCGUAAACGAUGGUCACUAGCUGUUCGAUGUACAUUGGUACAUUGAGUGGCUAAGCGAAAGUGAUAAGUGACCCACCUGGGGAGUACGCUCGCAAGAGUGAAACUCAAAUGAAUUGACGG
rnacentral:rRNA from 1 species